rnacentral:RNase_P_RNA from 1 species
UCAGAUGGCCGGAUGGCCGCUUCGCGGGAAACCGCGGGGAGGAAAGUCCGGGCUCCACGGAAAUACGGUGCCGGAUAACCUCCGGCGGGGGCGACCCUAGGGAAAGUGCCACAGAAAGCAAACCGCCGGCUCACGGGCAACCGCCAGCCGGUAAGGGUGAAAGGGUGCGGUAAGAGCGCACCGCGGGCCCGGCAACGGGAACGGCAUGGUAAACCCCACCGGGAGCAAGACCAAGUAGGGACGGUAUGUCGGUUUCGGCCGACAAAGCGCAUUUCCGCGCCGCUGUCCGGGUCGGUCGCGCGAGGCGUUCGGCAACGAACGUCCCAGAUGAAUGGCCAUCCAUCCGCCUGCAAGGGUGGGGGACAGAACCCGGCUUACAGGCCAUCUGACACA